CAGCAGCCGCGGGAAUACGGAGGGUGCAAGCGUUAAUCGGAAUUACUGGGCGUAAAGCGCACGCAGGCGGUCUGACAAGUCAGAUGUGAAAUCCCCGGGCUUAACCUGGGAACUGCAUUUGAAACUGUCAGGCUGGAGUCUUGUAGAGGGGGGUAGAAUUCCAGGUGUAGCGGUGAAAUGCGUAGAGAUCUGGAGGAAUACCGGUGGCGAAGGCGGCCCCCUGGACAAAGACUAACGCUCAGGUGCGAAAGCGUGGGGACCAAACAGGAUUAGAUACCCCUGUAGUCCCUGUCUCUUAUAC
rnacentral:rRNA from 1 species